rnacentral:rRNA from 1 species
GUAGUUAGCCGGGGCUUUCUUACAGGGUACCGUCACUUCUUCGUCCCCUGCGACAGAGGUUUACAAUCCGAAAACCUUCUUCCCUCACGCGGCGUUGCUGGGUCAGGCUUGCGCCCAUUGCCCAAUAUUCCCCACUGCUGCCUCCCGUAGGAGUCUGGACCGUGUCUCAGUUCCAGUGUGGCCGAUCAGCCUCUCAGCUCGGCUACCCAUCGUCGGCUUGGUGGGCUGUUAUCUCACCAACUACCUAAUGGGACGCGAACCCCUCUAAAAGCGAUAAAUCUUUGACCUCUUCCCGAUGCCGGGUUGUGGUCUUAUGCGGUAUUAGCAGUUGUUUCCACCUGUUAUUCCCCACUCUUAGGCAGGUUGUUCACGCGUUACUCACCCGUGCGCCACUAGAAUUAUCAAUUCCAUCCGAAAACUUCCUUAAUAAUCCCCGUUCGACUUGCAUGUGUUAGGCACGCCGCCAGCGUCGUCCUCGAGCCACGGAUCAACUACUGA